UCUCCGUUGGUGGACCAGCGGAGGGAUCAUUACAGGACUCGCAAGACUCCUACAACCCUGUGAACUUAACUAUAAGCACGUUGCUUCGGCGGGUGUCUCGGAGGGGGUUCUCCCUCCCCGAGACGCUAAACCCGCCGGCAGCCUACUAUACUCUGUCUCUUUGCGUUGGCAUCUCGAGUACAAUCAAACAAGUUAAAACUUUCAACAACGGAUCUCUUGGUUCUG
rnacentral:misc_RNA from 1 species